CCGAGACUCAGUGAAAUUGAAAUCGCUGUGAAGAUGCAGUGUACCCGCGGCUAGACGGAAAGACCCCGUGAACCUUUACUACAGCUUGGCACUGAACAUUGAACCUACAUGUGUAGGAUAGGUGGGAGGCUUUGAAGACGUGACGCCAGUUGCGUUGGAGCCGUCCUUGAAAUACCACCCUUGUAUGUUUGAUGUUCUAACGUUGGCCCCUAAUCGGGGUUGCGGACAGUGCCUGGUGGGUAGUUUGACUGGGGCGGUCUCCUCCCAAAGAGUAACGGAGGAGCACGAAGGUGGGCUAAUCACGGUUGGACAUCGUGAGGUUAGUGCAAUGGCAUAAGCCCGCUUAACUGCGAGAAUGACGGUUCGAGCAGGUGCGAAAGCAGGUCAUAGUGAUCCGGUGGUUCUGAAUGGAAGGGCCAUCGCUCAACGGAUAAAAGGUACUCCGGGGAUAACAGGCUGAUACCGCCCAAGAGUUCAUAUCGACGGCGGUGUUUGGCACCUCGAUGUCGGCUCAUCACAUCCUGGGGCUGAAGUCGGUCCCAAGGGUAUGGCUGUUCGCCAUUUAAAGUGGUACGCGAGCUGGGUUUAGAACGUCGUGAGACAGUUCGGUCCCUAUCUGCCGUGGGCGUUGGAAGAUUGAAGGGGGCUGCUCCUAGUACGAGAGGACCGGAGUGGACGAACCUCUGGUGUUCGGGUUGUGUCGCCAGACGCAUUGCCCGGUAGCUAAGUUCGGAAUCGAUAACCGCUGAAAGCAUCUAAGCGGGAAGCGAGCCCUGAGAUGAGUCUUCCCUGAUACUUUAAGUAUCCUAAAGGGUUGUUCGAGACUAGAACGUUGAUAGGCAGGGUGUGUAAGCGCUGUGAGGCGUUGAGCUAACCUGUACUAAUUGCCCGUGAGGCUUAACCAU
rnacentral:rRNA from 1 species